UGGAGCAAAACUUCAAAAAUAGGUCUCAUUCGGACUGUAGGCUGCAACUCGCCUACACGAAGUUGGAAUUGCUAGUAAUCGUGGAUCAGCAUGCCACGGUGAAUACGUUCCCGGGUCUUGUACACACCGCCCGUCACACCAUGGGAGCUGGUAACACCCGAAGUCAGUAGUCUAACCGCAAGGAGGACGCUGCCGAAGGUGGGAUUAGCGACUGGGGUGAAGUCGUAACAAGGUAGC
rnacentral:rRNA from 1 species